UACGUAGGGUGCGAGCGUUGUCCGGAAUUAUUGGGCGUAAAGAGCUCGUAGGCGGUUUGUCGCGUCUGCCGUGAAAGUCCGGGGCUCAACUCCGGAUCUGCGGUGGGUACGGGCAGACUAGAGUGAUGUAGGGGAGACUGGAAUUCCUGGUGUAGCGGUGAAAUGCGCAGAUAUCAAGAGGAACACCUGAGGUGAAGACGGGUUGCUGGGCUGACACUGACGCUGAUAGCGCGAAAGCCAGGGGAGCAAACGGG
rnacentral:rRNA from 1 species